UAGGAGGUAAGAAGGGCAUAUGUGAUACCCAUAUGCCCAGUAUUCUACACAUCUUUCAUGCUCUUCCUUUCCUUCAGGGAGGUUCAAUAGUGGCCUCAGAAUGGCCUUGGAAACCAAGAUUGAAGUCAAGGAUUCAUAAUCUUGCCCAAGACUCUGAAUGACUCCAUGGAACCAACUGUGUGUUUUUCAAGCCUGAAAAUGCAAGUCCAGGACUGUUUUAUAUUCCUUAGGAACUUCUUUAGUUUAAGAUGGGAUACAGCUGGGGCUAUGAACUGCAGUUCCAUCUAGUUCCACAAUCACAUGGAGAAUACCAGUGUUCCACAAUGAAGGCGCUUACUCAGAUACGGUGUUUCUUAGAUAAUCUUCCACCCCUUGUCUAGAAGCAGUCAGCAGGCAGUGAACUCAGACACUACAGGGCAAUUGUCACAGUGACUGUGACAGCGUGCACGAGACCUGUCCAUGCAUGAAGUCCCACCACCUAGCUGAGGAGCUUGGAAAGGGAGAGCCAGUUUCCCCACAUCAAUUCCUAUCUUCUGGCUCCUGCCUCAAGUUCCUGCCUGAUCGCCAUGUGAUGGAUUGUCACCUGGAGUUGUAUAAUGAAAUAAACUCUUUCCUCCAUGA